AGUGAGGAAUAGCAGCCAGAAAUUGGAAAACAAAGACACACACGCUACUCAGAGAUAUUUGUUGGAAUCAUUGUCAGAGUUUGUGAGUGAGUGAGUGAGUGAGUGAGGGUAUAACCCCCAUCAUCUUCUCAUUCACCAAACAUCUUAAUCACCCAUUUCUGGUAAUAUAACAACAACCAAGCUAGGUAAGAAAAUGGCGAGAAAGAAGAUACCGAUCAAGAAGAUCGACAACAUAAACGCGAGGCAAGUAACAUUCUCAAAGAGGAGAAAAGGUCUUUUCAAGAAGGCUCAGGAACUGUCAACUCUUUGUGAUGCUCAGAUUGCUCUCAUAGUCUUUUCCGCAACCAGCAAGCUCUUCGAGUACGCCACUUCAAGCAUGCAACAAAUACUUGAAAGGCGUAAUCGGCAUUCAGGUGUUCAAGGAUCAGACAUUUCAUCUACUGGACAACAACAGCUUGGAAGUGAGUCUUUUGACAUGCUGCGCAAGGUUGUAGAAGAUAAGACUCAUGAACUGAGUCAGUUGAAUGGACAAGACUUGCAAGGAUUGACAAUACAAGAAUUGCAGAAACUGGAGGAACUUCUCCAAAGACGUUGGACCACUAUUUCAAAAAUUAAGGAAGAAAAAAUGACACAAGAGAUCAACAGCCUUAAAACAAAGGUAAAUGCUCACACAGGAGGCCGAACUUACAGAAGAGAACCAGAAACUGAAGCAGAAGUUGGUUCGAGAACAAAGGCAGUGUUAUGAGUCAAUUACUAGCAGUUCAUCUGAUUUUCCUGCAGACAAUGGUAGUUCUGAUACAUCUCUCAAGUUGGGGCUGCGUUUAUUUGAAUGAAAUGGUUCAGAGAACCAUAGUGAGAAGUUAACUGGAUUAGCUUCGUUUUCUGUAUGAAAGACAAGAUCAAUGUUGUUUUGGAAUUUGACAAACAAUUUGCUUUUGAUGAGUAGCAGCUGGAAAAAAUUCACAGCUGGGUAACUUAUUUUGUAACCUAAACAGAACAUUGUAAUUGUUAUUAUGCCAUACGUGGCUGGUUAAAUAGACAGGAAUGGUUAUUUUAUAAA